rnacentral:lncRNA from 1 species
UGGAAUUAGUAUAUGACGCAGAAAAGAACUUGCACGAUGUUAAUGAGAAAACUUUUGAGCCUUACUCCGUCAAGUAAACUCACUUUUUGGUCAAUAUACCAAAUAUAUUCUAGACAGUUUGGAGAAGGGACGCAUAUUUGCUUAGGGUAAAGACAGAAUAAAAUGAUAAAUCGACGCGGAAGUAAAAUACCAAAAGAUGUAGAAAGGCAAGGGGAAGAACUGUAAAUGGAAAUAUAUGAGCGAGCAGAAAUAAAAAAUGUAAAGGAAACUGAAUUUUAAGAAUAUUGAGAGGAGUGUAUGGGUAGCUAUGCGGAGAGAGAGAAUCGAAAUUGAAUCGAAAUUGAAAGAGGUGAAAGAUGCUAAAGAUACUGAAGACCUUGGAGGAAAGAGAAUGAAGUUGGCCUACCCUUUGGUUGCAGUGUACACAGCGAACAUCGGGUAAGAUGGAAGGAUCACCACAGACCCGGAGCCGAGGUUGGCGAUGGCUCCCUUCUUUUUCCUCAUCAUCUGCGGCAGCACCGCCCUGGUAAUCUCCGUCAACGACUCCAUGUUAACUUUGGUUAAAUCGGAGUACAGCUCCUCCUCCAACUCAUGCAGGUACUUCGGAACAUCAUAACACACACCAGCGUUAUUAACGAGCACCCCGACGUCGAGCUUCUCGAUGGCUUUCUUUAGACGCCGGACGCCGUCGGGGAUGUCACCGGCCAGGUCAAACACGACAGUCACGACCUCAACGCUCUUCAACUCGGCCUGAAUUGCAGCAGACACCAGCUUCAGCUUGUCGGGGUUCCGGCCGACGAGGAUUAGACUCAGGCCUUGCCUGGCGAGCUCAAAGGCCAUGGCCUUUCCGAUGCCGUCGGUUGGCCCCGUGACAAUCGCCCACCGGCCGUAGUCGAGAAGGUGUUUUGGUGGUCGGAGGAAGAAGGUGUAGACCCAUCGGAGGAAGGACAGAGAAAGCCUCGAGACUUGGAAGAGGCCGAGUGACAAUAGAAGGAUAACCCAUGUAGGUUGUGAUCGCAGAGUGUCUAAGAAGAGAAACUCCAUGAUCUCAGGACUGAAGGAGAUACAACACAUCCUUGGUUCGAAUAAGUAGGAGGCGAUCCGGACGAAACUAAAGUGGACGGUGGUCUGCAAAGUCAUGCACAAAAGCUAGAUCGAUGUGAUAUCAAUAAUGAGAAUUUUGUUACUGGAAAGGCCGAGAUUGUCUAAUGUGAUGUGUCGAAAGUGUUGGCAAAUUAAGGUCAUUGCAGUAUAAAGAAACCUGUUAGGAGGGCUCUAAAUAGGAUUUAACGGUUCAAAAUGUAUUUGCAUACACUCUAUCAGUCCAUGUAUUGAUCGUCGACAUCAAUGCACGUGUUGUCACCUGCCAAAACUUUAAUGCGAAGGAGAUGAUAGCUCACAUUUACUGACCUUUCCGGUCUCUCUCUCUAUCUCGCCUACGGCCAGCACGUUGAUUUAUUUUGUCGUGUCUUGCUUUUACACGUUACGUAUUUAUUGCUUUCGGUGUCAUUCUUGAAGUCCCGUGAUGUGCCCGAGCCCAUACGGAACCGACUCUAUCUGUCUAUAUCGUAAACAGCCACAAGAUAAAAUCCAAAUUGUCAACCAUCAGCUUCCAUUUUUACCCUGCGUGUUCUUAAUUAGUUGAUCUCAUUUAUCAAAUGGAUUGAUGGCCAACCAACGUGGAUCCUCUCAGUAACGGUUGGCUUAUAUGAAUUGAGCAUCUCGAAGGGGCCUCUUUCCUCAAUUUGAACGCUUGUGGGCAGAUAACCGAUACCCAAGCGCACAAAGACAAAUAAUUUUUAUGUUUUAUUUUGCUACAAUCGCGAUCGCAUUACUCUUAGUUGCAUGCAUUAGAGAGAAGUUACAUGGUCUCCUAUUAGAGUCAAUCUAAGAGGACUAACCUAUUCACACUCAACUAAAAAGAAUAGGAAUUCAGAUCAAGACUGAAACGAUUUGAGAGGCUGCGGCAUGAAACUCUUUCGCAUUUACCGACAAAUGGUAUCAGACAGAGAGAACUCUUGGAUAUAAACGUAGUACAUGUCAAAGGUUCAAAAUCUUUUAAGGGAAGCAGAUCCAACUGUGGGUUAUCCAGUUUUUAUGAGGCCCGGUCAUGUAUGCUUGCGUUCUUAAUACUUGAAUACUCCCCUUAAACAAGUUGACUGCUCUACCCAAGAUCCUAUAAACGCUCCAGUUACAUAAAGAUCCUUCAACGUUGAUGGUGGAUGUACAUCGGAAGAAUUCAUUACGCCCUUAGAAUGAAAGGAUAAACUGUACAGUUAGAAGUUGAUUAAAUGGUCCCUUUUCUAGUGCCAGGCAUAAACCUGCCGCGCACAUUCUUGAUUACUUUCUUCCGCGUAUAUACCUUACCUUGACAAUUAUCGAAAUUUGGGGAUUCCUUUUUCUUGAUUUGACCUCCUAUCAUUGGGCAGACCUCUGCAUUGCUCACCGGAAAGAGAAUCAGUAUCCUCCUUCAGACGUUCUGCAUCUUACUCGUUUCACGAUCUUAAGGAGAAAUGAUGUUUUGGUGGGCAUCUUCCGCGGCUUCGCGCCUGAAUAUGCGAUGUGCACGUCAGUAGCCUGUGCGUUGUUUGGCCGCUAUGCACCUGUGUUUGUACACGUCGGUAUUUCCCGCUCACGUCGGGCCAAACACAUGCCUCUCUUCCUCUCUCUCUUUCUUUAUAAGUCCUCUAUCUGGCCAAACACAUGGGACAAAUGGGAAAAGAGAUUUUCUAGACCCGGCUGAAGAGAAAGAGAGGAUUAAAGAAGGAUGGCCAACCACAUUCGGUGGUUGAAGUUUGGACUUUGAUACGCAUAAACAUUCGGAGAGUUAAAAUAAAUUUAAAUGUACCCGAGGACAAUACACAAAUAAGGAAAAGUUUGUUUACUUUAUUUGUCUCAGUGAAAUAACUGAAGCUUACCGUAAAUUUUAUAACUUACAUAGUGUCCUACAUGUUGUUCUAUAUACGUUUAGUAAGGAAUAUAUAAGAAUGCUAGGCGCUCAUACAUUUCCACAUGAAGAUAUAAACGUGGAAGGUUCUCACACAAGCUAACUUGAAAGCCUGCCUGGAGCUCAACUAAGAUUAUGGAAGCCAGUGAAAUUUUAUCACUCUAAUAGACUGGUCUAAGAAGCUCAAAAGACAAAUUCAAGCCAUAAACGGCAACUUUGAAGUCAAUUUAUUAUCAAGCAAACGUAGCUGGUAAACCCACGAGCAAUACCUUGCGUAAAACAUCACCUAGGAUAAGAUGGAUAACCCUGCUUUGUUAAAAACAGCGUCUGCCUGCACUUGUAUCAGGCAAAAUGAUAGAGCACUCUUCUGCGAAGGGCGGAAUGUAGGAGCCAUGCAUUAAGUAUACUCUCUGGCACGAAUUUCGCUAAGUAGCACUGUAGAGAGUGUCGCCAAUGAGGAAGGAUUGAAGUCCCGUAGCCGAUGGCGCGUACAGCCGGAGGAGCAUACUCUUCUGGUUUAGUAUUAAAAAACGAAGGUUUCUUGUCGGGGACCAUCUUUGUCACUGUAUAAGACGGAGUCUACGCAUAGACGAAAAGUUAAAUCCAGUCUACUAAAAGUAGACAAAAUAAUUACUUUCCUCUGAUGUUUAUUUCUACAGAAUGGAUUGAAUUCCUUGUGUAGAAUGAAUUGAUAAUUAUUAUACUCAGAAUUCAAUGAAAUCCAGUAAUGUUAACUCGUAGAUGAUAAUUGAGACUUUCGUGUAUAGUGGUUGUCAUUUGCGACUAGCAAAAAGCUUGGCCCAUUUUAGAAGGAUAUACAUGUAGCAUAUUACUUUGACUAAACUAAAUUAUUUGUGGACAGAAAUUGCUGGACGAUUUAGGUUACCUGGCAUUGGAUGUCAAUCCCAUGUUUUUUGUACUCAUGGUGCAAGCUUCUGGACAAGCUAUCAACGUAACUAUUAGAUAUUAAAAACCAUUUAUCAGUAUAUAGUGCUAACAUACCUGUGCAAAUUAAAUCAGCAGUUCCCGUCAGAAUUCUAUUUGAGUUGCUAGGAAAAUCUUGCCAAAUUUUUUGAUUUAAGUUUUGGGGGAGGGGAAAUAUUGGAGAAUGAAUCGGAUGACCAGAAACUAAGCAUCUGUAAAACGGACAAGCCUACCGAGGGCAAGGAUCUGUAAAAUUCCAAGAAAAUGGAGGACAAAAAGCUCAAGAAUUGGCGUUAGAAGCAAUAGAAGAACAAAGAUUAACCGCAUCAACAGAGAUAAACCCAUUAUAAGAACCAGAUAAAGAAAGAAAGCGAGAAAUCAUUGAUGUGACAAACAGCCAAAAGUGGAAAAACGACGACUAAAGGAAAAACGUAAAGUGUCAUUACGGAAUUUUAAAAUUCGAAAAGUGCCAUGAGAAACACCUACCCUUUGGUACCAGUAUACACAGCGAACAUCGGGUAAGAUGGCGUGAUCACUACAGACCCGGAGCCGAGGUUGGCGAUGGCUCCCUUCUUUUUCCUCAUCAUCUGCGGCAGCACCGCCCUGGUAAUCUCCGUCAACGACUCCAUGUUAACUUUGGUUAAAUCGGAGUACAUCUCCUCCUCCAACUCAUGCAGGUACUUCGGAACAUCAUAACACACACCAGCGUUAUUAACGAGCACCCCGACGUCGAGCUUCUCGAUGGCUUUCUUUAGGCGCCGGACGCCGUCGGGGAUGUCACCGGCCAGGUCAAACACGACAGUCACAACCUCAACGCUCUUCAACUCGGCCUGAAUUGCAGCAGACACCAGCUUCAGCUUGUCGGGGUUCCGGCCGACGAGGAUUAGGCUCAGGCCUUGCCUCGCAAGCUCAAAGGCUAUGGCCUUUCCGAUGCCGUC